rnacentral:lncRNA from 1 species
ACUGUUGUGAGUGGAGAUGCAACAGAGAAGACUCAUUCUCUGCUUGCUAUUUUCCCAGGAAACAGCAGAUUUUCAGGAGAUGUAAUUGUGAAGAUAAUUAAGAGGGGAUGAAGAUGCAUUCAGCAUCUUUUUAAAGUAUCCCAUUAUCGUUGUUUGAUGUUGCAAGUUGAUGUUCAUCAAGUGUUCAUCCCGAGUCUUUUCCAUGACUAAAAUGCUACUGAGAAGGAAAACAUCUUUGUUGAUUCACCUGUUCAGUCAUCUAAUAACAUCUC